GGCAAGGCGUUCGAUGUUUUUAAGUCCUCCGAAUGGGACUCUCUGUUUUCUCAGUCGUCCUGGGAUUCGCUGGAUGGCGUAGUCGGUGGUUCCGACGGCGCCUCCUCUUCGUGUAUAACUAUCUUCUCUCUCCACACUUGACUCAGUGCUACGGUCUCCUUUGGACAGUUCUGUUCAAGCUGUAUGUCUUCAGACCUUACCACUUCUCCUUCGUAGUCUGCCCAUCCGUCCUUGAUGAUUUGCCUCCUCUGGUUGCGGUUGCAUCGUCUUCUUCUUGUCCUGACCUGCUUAGAGUCUUUAACUAUAUAGUUAAGGUCAGUAAAAUAGCAGCGUACCUUCUUAGAGGGGAAGUGCAUGUGGACUUCUCCGGUUCCAAUGUAGGUG
rnacentral:lncRNA from 1 species